rnacentral:misc_RNA from 1 species
AAGUCGUAACAAGGUCUCCGUAGGUGAACCUGCGGAGGGAUCAUUACCGAGUGAGGGCCCUCGCGCCUGACCUCCAACCCUCUGUGAAUGACUACAGUUGCCUCGGGGGCGACCCGGCCUUUGCGUCGGGGCCCCCGCCUGGAGCCUCAAUCAAUCUCUGCGUCUCUGCGUCUGAGUCUAAAGCAAAUCAGUCAAAA